UUGAGACCUCCCAUCGUUUGGAUUUGAAUAUCCAACCAUUGUAAUACAAGGGGGCGGCGUUCAGGUUUGACUGUGUCUGUACGUGUGGGUGUUUGAGUGAGAAAGACACAGAGGAGAGCCGACCAUUAAAAGCACAGCCCCCUUCAUUAUUGUCGCAUUGAGCCGAAAAUAUCAAAGAGCCAUUCCAAACUUUGAAAGUUAGGUGUUAGCCAGACUAAUGAUGAACUGCAAUGAAAAAGUAAUUGCUUCGAUGCUUCGGGGAAACUCACUGAGAACUGGAUCGCUGUCUUCAAGGACAAAAAAAUAUUGCAGGCCCAAGAUCUUCUCUUUGAAGUGCAGGUGACAUCGCUUUAAGACUUGAUGGAAGGAGCAAGUGCUGUAAGUCUGGCAGAAAGACCCACCUUCGAAGAGACCAGAACGUCUUUCAUUGACUUGCGGCCUGUACGUUUAAAUAGUGGAUAGGCAUAGGGAGAUAGAUGGUGAAAUUAGAUGAUAGCAUUUGUAAACCUUGAAUGAAAGGAACAGCAUUCCAAAAUUGGUUAAAUGCACACUCCAAGACAUUGUUAUGUAAUUGAACCUAUGAGCCUAAGCCCCCAAUGAAUGGAAGAUGUAGGCAUCAAACUGGGAUUGGGUGUUUAUAUUGAUGUUGAAGUGUAAAUGGUUAUAUAGUAUACAACAAUAAAUGGUGUGAGAUGGCA